rnacentral:lncRNA from 1 species
CAGGUCUCGUCCUUAGGUGUUUGGGACUCAGCUGAGGGUGUGGGUCCCCGCGGUGGGGGCUGAGCCUCCUCGGGGUGUAGGGAGACAAAGGGACCCAGAUCCAAGUCGCCUCUUUCCUGCUUUAGGAUUCGGUGCCUUGGCUGUCUGCUAGUCCAUGUGCCGUCUUAUCCCCCGAUUCUCCUUCUAGUGGACCGUCAGAGAAGGGUGUGGACUCUGAGCCUCAGAAACAGGAGCUGAUACAGAAGAACCAAGUGUGAUAUUGAAUCUGCUAGACAGGUUCCUGGAGCAAGAGUGAAGAGAUCACGGUCCCAUCAAUGGGACACUUUAGUUUGAUAUGAGUGGAGCAAUUUCUUAUUGAGCCCCAGGAAGAAAAAAAUAGCACAGAAGAGAAAGAAUAGUAAUGGGUCAGCUAGACAAGAAGGUGGGAGUCAUCAAACAUGUGUCCCAGUAGCCAGACCCAUCAACUGAGCACAAGACCUUGGAGAUAACUGCUGUCCAGAAGGAGAUGAUUAUUAUUCCCAUGCAUUGCUUUAUCCUUUCUCUCCAUAUGAGAGCUUCCCUUAACAAGAUAUAACAUUGUUUUGCAUGUUGUUACCAC